UUCUCCAGUGGUCUGUAUGACUGGAAUCACAGGAAGGGCAGAGAGGAAGAAAAAAAAAAUCUGUCUUGAAGUUUAUUUAUUAAAAUAUGUAUGCAAGUUGGUACAUAUUUUAUCCCAAUAGAUGGGUAAAUCAUAGAAUUAUAUAUAAAAUAUGAUUUUUUACAGCGUGUAUUUUUUUUACUCUCUCACUAAGAAAUUUGCAUGCAUUGAAAUAACUUCAAUUUCAAUACGCUCAUUUUGUGAACAGCUAACGUAGUUGGUUGCUUUUAGAUAAAGCCUGCUGGAAAAUUAGGUUAACAAAGGGUGAAGGUGAAGAGCUGGAGGUUUCAGAGCUGGUUGAGACCAGGCUGCUGAGGUUGUGUAACCAUGCCUAGAGGGCGGGGUUCCUGUACAUUCCUACUUCAGCAGAUAACCUGCCCCCAGCACCACUCCAGUUUCUGCCAGAGUGAUGGAAGUCUCCAAAGGAAAAUCUGCGCAGCCCUUCCAAGAAGCAGGGUUCUGCUUGAUGUUGUCGGAAGGCUGCCAAAGGAAAGGACUGGAGAACUGUGAACACUCUCACCCGGGGAUCGAGCUUGGAACAAGGAAGGCUGGCAUGAUCAUUCACUGCACAUCAGAGGGUGUUGAACCGCCAGUGUGCUGACACCGAGCAGAAAUUUCCAAGUUUAAAGCAACACUCCCUGGACUCACGACAUGUCCCUGGAGAAAGCUACCUCAUCAUUCUUCAGACAAAAAAAAAUUGAUUCCCUUCAGUAUCCUCCAGUUUCGAUAUGACUAGAUAGAACUUUAUGUUCAUUCAGAUAGCUUCCAUGCCUGAAUUCUUGGUCAUCUUUCUGUCGUCUUGUUCCAUAAAUAAAGAUAUAAUAAUAAAAAUGAAUAAAGUUGUUUUGGUCUCAGUGAA